UUUUAGAGGAAGUAAAAGUCGUAACAAGGUCUCCGUUGGUGAACCAGCGGAGGGAUCAUU
rnacentral:rRNA from 1 species